rnacentral:tRNA from 1 species
GGGGAUUUAGCUCAGUGGUAGAGUGCUUGCCUAGGAAGCUCAAGGCCCUGGGUUCUAUCCCCAGCCCCG